rnacentral:rRNA from 1 species
GAGAUGAGAAUGUGCCUUCGGGAACCGUGAGACAGGUGCUGCAUGGCUGUCGUCAGCUCGUGUUGUGAAAUGUUGGGUUAAGUCCCGCAACGAGCGCAACCCUUAUCCUUUGUUGCCAGCGAUUAGGUCGGGAACUCAAAGGAGACUGCCAGUGAUAAACUGGAGGAAGGUGGGGAUGACGUCAAGUCAUCAUGGCCCUUACGACCAGGGCUACACACGUGCUACAAUGGCGCAUACAAAGAGAAGCGACCUCGCGAGAGCAAGCGGACCUCAUAAAGUGCGUCGUAGUCCGGAUUGGAGUCUGCAACUCGACUCCAUGAAGUCGGAAUCGCUAGUAAUCGUGGAUCAGAAUGCCACGGUGAAUACGUUCCCGGGCCUUGUACACACCGCCCGUCACACCAUGGGAGUGGGUUGCAAAAGAAGUAGGUAGCUUAACCUUCGGGAGGGCGCUUACCACUUUGUGAUUCAUGACUGGGGUGAAGUCGUAACAAGGUAACCGUAGGGGAACCUGCGGUUGGAUCACCUCCUUACCUUAAAGAAGC